rnacentral:lncRNA from 1 species
GAUUUUUGAAGUACAGUUAAUCUUCAUAAAUUAUUAUUCUUCCUGCCUAUUUAUUUGUCAUAAGUGAAACAUCUUUGUGCAGUGCAUUCAUUCCACUGGAGUGUGUUUUAGCUAUCUUUUGAAUGCUACCUUAAAACAAAAAAUUGACAUUUUUUGCAAACCCUGGACGAUACUCAGAUUGUCCCUUUCGCUCACUUUAAUUUCGAACCUCACUCUGGCCAUACUGCAAAUGGCCAGCACAUAAUCCCAACAGCAGGAAAGACUCUGAUUUCAUUGUGACAUUAGAGGAAAUUCCAGAAUUGUUUGCAGAACUUGUGAAAACUUGGAAUAUCUUUCUUCAACUAGCUUUAGUACAUCCAUUUAAUUUUUUCCAUAGUCUCUCAUGAGUGGUUUUUCUUGGGGAAAAACCUCACUGUAUCCAUCAUGGAUUUAUUUAUUUAUUUAUUUAAAGUUUGCAAUUCUAGGAGAACUUACAUUAGUCAAAAUGCUUCUGGCAAGUAAACUAAAUCCUGGAGCUUAUGGGUUUCCAAUCUUGCGCUACUUCAGUGUCCCUCCUGUUUUGUCUCCAGUCCCAGACGGAGCAAUGGCUCUCCAGGCAGUGGAAAACCGUCCUGCUGCCUUCAGUACAUUAGCCCUGAUUAGCACCUGCCAACCGCCUGACUCUUCUUCUUCACCACGAGAAGAAAUCCGGGGGGAGAAGAGAACGUUGACGAGCCUAAAACACGCGCUCUCAGUUUUUUUCCAAAGAAAACCAAAGCCGCGUGCGUCUGGACCUGCCUGCCAGUCCUGCUGACUUGCUGUGACGCAGGGCUUGUUCUGAAGAGAAUAAGCUCACCUCGCUGAUCCAAACGCUUAAAAGUCCGUGUUGCCUGAACUAGAAGCAGAUGAAUUCCAGGUAUGAAUGUUUUUUCUUGAACUGUGCCACUGAAUAUCACAGGGGGGAGAAAUGGGGCUUUCUGGGUGUCCGGGCAAUAGUGCCCUAAGCAGAAGUGUCCACAUAGUUACAUGACCACUUACAGAGCUGUGCAAGAUCUGACGGGAUUUGUCAAGGCUGCUUUUCGUUUUCCCCUGGCAUCAUCAAGGAAGUGAUGAUGGACUGGAAGGAAGAAGUUUCAGAUCUCUCCUAAAACUCUGGUUGAGCACAGAAGACCUCGUGUUCAUUUCUGAUGACAUCCCCGUGUUUAAGUGACUUGGAGAAAGGUUGGACUGAAUUUUCCUCUCCUGUACUUGAGUUUCUCCAGUUAACUGUAAGACGUAGCAGUGAGCAUCCAUCAGACCAUGGUGACAAGCUGUAAGGAUGGGUCACUGGUCACCUGGAAAGCGGGCUCCCUGCUGAAAUGUCGGCAGGCUUGUCUUAGCAGCAGGUGUUAAAAAAUAAUGCUGCUGAUUCUUUGGGUCCAAACAUAGAUAAAUGUCUUUCCCUCUAUGUGAGCUUUGAGAAACACAUCCUGAGAACCUACAGUAUUAAAGGUGGAAAAGUUAACUUGCAUCUAAGAAGUUAGACUGUUUUAAUUUAUGUGUAAAGUUUAAAAGCAGCUAUAAAAAGCUUCUUGUCAUAAAUUAUUCUUGAAAUAAUUCUUGCCCCGAGGGUUUCCAUAGCGACAGCUGUUGUUGUUGAUUCCGUAAUGUUAGCACAGUCGACAUUUACUGCACAACGAGAACCUCUGAUUGAUUUUCCUAUGCAGAGAGGAAAAAACAACUGCUCUCGGAGAUGCGUGGUACGUAACUGCCAGUUUCUGAGGGACGCCGCCGUGUAACCCCGCACCGAGAGGCUGCGGUUUCUUGAGCAACAAACAGGAACGCUUACAAAUAAUUCGACAGAUCGCAAGAUAAUCUCAUCAGAUGACAGCAACAUUUAGGAGAGGCCGUGACGGCAUCCACCCGCCGAACUCGGAGCCGGGAAACUGCGCGGGGCGUGCUGCGAUCGCCGCGGGGCUUUGCCUCCCGCUUGGGACAGCGCAGCAGCGCGUUUGGGAGCGUCGAACGGCGUGCCGUGCCUCGACGAAACGCGGCGUGACAGCAGCAGUGCAAAAUGCGACUUUUGUGGAGCGUGUCCAGACUGGAAGUCUAAAUUAGAAAUAUGUCUUUGGGAAAGAGAGAAAAGAGAGGGACAGCAGGAGAGCGCGCAAAGAGAUCUUGCAAGGUAUCUGCGGCCGUAACACAGCCUGAUGAACUUAAAAAAAAAAAAAAAAAAAUAGUAUGUUUAUCCCAACUGUCGUGCCCAGGCCUGGCCUCCUCUGCUUGCACGGCACGCUCCUCGCGACCGUAGAGGGUCUCUCCAGCUGUUCAUGCAAUGUUCCCGUGAUAGCCCGCGGUGGCCUCGGAGCGCGGCUGGGUGUUUGUUCGGUGGUGAGCAGCACCCGCGAGGAGCAGUACCACGUUUAGUCUCUGUGAGCAAGGCUGUUUUCCGUGCGCGUUGGCACGUUCCCCGUCCGCGGGCUCUCGACAGCCCGGUUGCAGCUGCGCUCAUCCAACCUUGCAGGGACCUCGAGGUGCGCAGCCCUCCCGGCUCACGCCUCCACUCGCAGCUCCCUGCAGCCCCAGGUUGUCUCCUUGCCUGCAGCACUCCUGCCCGAAAGAGGCACUUUCCUUGGUCACUGGCAGGGAGGGGCUGGAGGAACUUCAUCUGACCUAAAAUAUUACUACUCAUCAGGGGAAAAAAUAUUUUUGCUACUAAAUAAAAGAUUGAAGGAGUAUUUUAAAAUGUUUGGG